rnacentral:rRNA from 1 species
UACGGAGGGUGCAAGCGUUAUCCGGAUUCACUGGGUUUAAAGGGUGCGUAGGCGGGUAAGUAAGUCCGUGGUGAAAUCUCUGAGCUUAACUCAGAAACUGCCGUGGAUACUAUUUGCCUUGAAUAUUGUGGAGGUGAGCGGAAUAUGUCAUGUAGCGGUGAAAUGCUUAGACAUGACAUAGAACACCAAUUGCGAAGGCAGCUCACUACACAAUCAUUGACGCUGAGGCACGAAAGCGUGGGGAUCAAACAGG